AUGAACGCUAGCUACAGGCUUAACACAUGCAAGUCGAGGGGCAGCAUUUUAGUUUGCUUGCAAACUAAAGAUGGCGACCGGCGCACGGGUGAGUAACACGUAUCCAACCUGCCGAUAACUCGGGGAUAGCCUUUCGAAAGAAAGAUUAAUAUCCGAUAGUAUAUUAAAACCGCAUGGUUUUACUAUUAAAGAAUUUCGGUUAUCGAUGGGGAUGCGUUCCAUUAGUUUGUUGGCGGGGUAACGGCCCACCAAGACUACGAUGGAUAGGGGUUCUGAGAGGAAGGUCCCCCACAUUGGAACUGAGACACGGUCCAAACUCCUACGGGAGGCAGCAGUGAGGAAUAUUGGUCAAUGGACGAGAGUCUGAACCAGCCAAGUAGCGUGAAGGAUGACUGCCCUAUGGGUUGUAAACUUCUUUUAUAUGGGAAUAAAGUAUUCCACGUGUGGGAUUUUGUAUGUACCAUAUGAAUAAGGAUCGGCUAACUCCGUGCCAGCAGCCGCGGUAAUACGGAGGAUCCGAGCGUUAUCCGGAUUUAUUGGGUUUAAAGGGAGCGUAGGUGGAUUGUUAAGUCAGUUGUGAAAGUUUGCGGCUCAACCGUAAAAUUGCAGUUGAAACUGGCAGUCUUGAGUACAGUAGAGGUGGGCGGAAUUCGUGGUGUAGCGGUGAAAUGCUUAGAUAUCACGAAGAACUCCGAUUGCGAAGGCAGCUCACUAGACUGCAACUGACACUGAUGCUCGAAAGUGUGGGUAUCAAACAGGAUUAGAUACCCUGGUAGUCCACGCAGUAAACGAUGAAUACUCGCUGUUUGCGAUAUACAGUAAGCGGCCAAGCGAAAGCAUUAAGUAUUCCACCUGGGGAGUACGCCGGCAACGGUGAAACUCAAAGGAAUUGACGGGGGCCCGCACAAGCGGAGGAACAUGUGGUUUAAUUCGAUGAUACGCGAGGAACCUUACCCGGGCUUAAAUUGCAACAGAAUAUAUUGGAAACAGUAUAGCCGUAAGGCUGUUGUGAAGGUGCUGCAUGGUUGUCGUCAGCUCGUGCCGUGAGGUGUCGGCUUAAGUGCCAUAACGAGCGCAACCCUUAUCUUUAGUUACUAACAGGUGAUGCUGAGGACUCUAGAGAGACUGCCGUCGUAAGAUGUGAGGAAGGUGGGGAUGACGUCAAAUCAGCACGGCCCUUACGUCCGGGGCUACACACGUGUUACAAUGGGGGGUACAGAAGGCAGCUACCUGGCGACAGGAUGCUAAUCCCAAAAACCUCUCUCAGUUCGGAUCGAAGUCUGCAACCCGACUUCGUGAAGCUGGAUUCGCUAGUAAUCGCGCAUCAGCCAUGGCGCGGUGAAUACGUUCCCGGGCCUUGUACACACCGCCCGUCAAGCCAUGAAAGCCGGGGGUACCUGAAGUACGUAACCGCAAGGAGCGUCCUAGGGUAAAACUGGUAAUUGGGGCU
rnacentral:rRNA from 1 species